GGUUCUUUGAAUUUUAAUGAAGAAUCUGACCUGCCCAAUGAUAAUUAAAUGGCCGCGGUAUUUUGACCGUGCGAAGGUAGCAUAAUCAUUUGUCUUUUAAUUAGGGACUAGAAUGAAUGGUUGGACGAGAUAAUAACUUUUUUAAAUAUAAGUAUUAAAUUUUAUUUUUUAGUGAAAAAGCUAAAAUAGGACUAAAAGACAAGAAGACCCUAUCAAGUUUUAUUAAUAUAUAUUAGUAAUAAAAKGUAGUUUAUAAAUAUUAAUUAAUUUUGCUGGGGCGGUAGAUUAAAACUUAUUAAGAUCCGAAAAUUUCGAUUAUUAGAUUAAAUUACUGUAGGGAUAACAGCGUAAUCUUAUUUGAGAGUUCAUAUCGACAAUAAGGGUUGCGACCUCGAUGUUGGAUUAGAAUACCUUUCUGGAGCAGAAUUUAGAAAAGGUGGUCUGUUCGACCAUUAAAAUUCUACA
rnacentral:rRNA from 1 species